rnacentral:rRNA from 1 species
AGAACGAACGCUGGCGGCAGGCUUAACACAUGCAAGUCGAGCGCCCCGCAAGGGGAGCGGCGGACGGGUGAGUAACGCGUGGGAAUCUACCUAGCUCUUCGGAAUAGCUCCGGGAAACUGGAAUUAAUACCGAGUACGCCCUACGGGGGAAAGAUUUAUCGGAGUUAGAUGAGCCCGCGUUGGAUUAGCUAGUUGGUGGGGUAAUGGCCUACCAAGGCGACGAUCCAUAGCUGGUCUGAGAGGAUGAUCAGCCACACUGGGACUGAGACACGGCCCAGACUCCUACGGGAGGCAGCAGUGGGGAAUAUUGGACAAUGGGCGCAAGCCUGAUCCAGCCAUGCCGCGUGAGUGAUGAAGGCCUUAGGGUUGUAAAGCUCUUUCGGUGGGGAAGAUAAUGACGGUACCCACAGAAGAAGCCCGGCUAACUGCGUCAGCAGCCGC